rnacentral:tRNA from 1 species
UGCUGUGAAAGCACAUAUGGAUGUGCAUUCGGCUGAUAACCGAAAGGAAGAAGGUUCGAAUCCUUCUCACAGUACCAA